GAUUUACAAGUGGGCGUGGCUUACCUUGGACUAUAAGGCCAAUGCCCGGCGAUCUAAAGUCAACGCCUGGGAUCCCUUUUACUUGACAACCACCUGCGUAGACACAGUAGGCAACAUAAAAUCAACCAUGGCUGUUAUUGUCGACGUUGAAUACUGCAGUGGAUGAGGCUAUGCCCGCCGCUAUCAGGAGCUGGCCGCCGCUAUACAGCGGAGCGUUCCUGAUGCGCAGGUCUCUGGGAAGACGGGGAGAAACUCCAGCUUUGAGGUGACGGUGAAUGGUCAGCUGGUCUAUUCCAAGCUGGAGAAUGGGAGCUUCCCUGAUUAUGGCGAGGUGGUGGCGAUGGUGAAGACUUUCCAGAAGUAGAACAAGGACGGCUCUGUUCUCCAGGAGGCAAACGGCUGUAUUCACAUCACUACAGAACCCCUGACACCUGAUCUGAUGGAUGAGGAAAGAAAAAUCUUGUUUAUAUUUUAUAUAAUAAUACCUUGCUGUUUGUCCCUCCCUUGACUGGAGAUCAGAGUUCUGUUCUGGCAUGAAUACGGCCAAAGUCCAGAAGAUGAGAAAAGCAACACCUUGGCGCCGGUCACUAAUCUGUCUUCUAUUCAUGACUGUACACAUUUAAAAUGAAGAGUGUGUGCACGAUGCAAUGUUAGAAGUAUGUCAGCUGACUGUCAUCUGAGAAAGUGCUCUUGUUGUCUGUCUGGCCUAUAAUUAAAGUGUACCUGUAUUACUGCAUUUACAUGGGAGCAGAAAAUCUAAACGCUAGCUCUUUGAAACAAACAUCUGGCCUUUUCAUUAAAAAAAAUAUAUCAUAA